rnacentral:hammerhead_ribozyme from 1 species
GAACUGUUGAAGAGUCCCAUAAUAGGACGAAACGGCCUUCCGGUGC